AGAAUCAACGCUGGCGGCGCGCUUAACACAUGCAAGUCGAACGAGAAAGGGGAGCAAUCCCUGAGUAAAGUGGCGCACGGGUGAGUAACACGUGACUAACCUACCCUUGAGUGGGGAGUAACUGAGGGAAACCUUAGCUAAUACCGCAUAAUACCCACGGGUCAAAGGAGCAAUUCGCUCGAGGAGGGGGUCGCGGCCGAUUAGGUUAGUUGGCGGGGUAAUGGCCCACCAAGACGAUGAUCGGUAU
rnacentral:rRNA from 1 species